rnacentral:rRNA from 1 species
GACGAACGCUGGCGGCGCGCUUAACACAUGCAAGUCGAGCGAGAACCAGGGCUUCGGCCCUGGGGACAGCGGCGAACGGGUGAGUAACACGUGGGUAAUCUGCCCUAGGCACCGGAAUAGCCCGGGGAAACCCGGAUUAAUGCCGGAUGGCCCCUUCACCUCGCGAGGUGUCGGGAAAAGGUAGCUUCGGCCUCUGGCCGAGGAUGAGCACGCGGCGGAUUAGCUUGUUGGCGGGGUAACGGCCCACCAAGGCGACGAUCCGUAGCUGGUCUGAGAGGACGAUCAGCCACACUGGGACUGAGACACGGCCCAGACUCCUACGGGAGGCAGCAGUGGGGAAUCUUGCGCAAUGGGCGAAAGCCUGACGCAGCGACGCCGCGUGAGGGAAGAAGGCCUUCGGGUUGUAAGCCUCUUUCAGGAGGGACGAAGCUACUCGGGUGAAUAGCCCAGAGGGUGACGGUACCUCCAGAAGAAGCCCCGGCUAACUACGUGCCAGCCGCCGCCGUAA